rnacentral:rRNA from 1 species
UGCAAGUCGAGCGAACUGAUUAGAAGCUUGCUUCUAUGACGUUAGCGGCGGACGGGUGAGUAACACGUGGGCAACCUGCCUGUAAGACUGGGAUAACUUCGGGAAACCGAAGCUAAUACCGGAUAGGAUCUUCUCCUUCAUGGGAGAUGAUUGAAAGAUGGUUUCGGCUAUCACUUACAGAUGGGCCCGCGGUGCAUUAGCUAGUUGGUGAGGUAACGGCUCACCAAGGCAACGAUGCAUAGCCGACCUGAGAGGGUGAUCGGCCACACUGGGACUGAGACACGGCCCAGACUCCUACGGGAGGCAGCAGUAGGGAAUCUUCCGCAAUGGACGAAAGUCUGACGGAGCAACGCCGCGUGAGUGAUGAAGGCUUUCGGGUCGUAAAACUCUGUUGUUAGGGAAGAACAAGUACGAGAGUAACUGCUCGUACCUUGACGGUACCUAACCAGAAAGCCACGGCUAACUACGUGCCAGCAGCCGCGGUAAUACGUAGGUGGCAAGCGUUAUCCGGAAUUAUUGGGCGUAAAGCGCGCGCAGGCGGUUUCUUAAGUCUGAUGUGAAAGCCCACGGCUCAACCGUGGAGGGUCAUUGGAAACUGGGGAACUUGAGUGCAGAAGAGAAAAGCGGAAUUCCACGUGUAGCGGUGAAAUGCGUAGAGAUGUGGAGGAACACCAGUGGCGAAGGCGGCUUUUUGGUCUGUAACUGACGCUGAGGCGCGAA